rnacentral:rRNA from 1 species
AACAAGAAAUAACAAAACAAGGCAAUUAAAAUGUUUUGUAAACGGAAUGAUAGAAAUUUAAACCCUUUUUAAAGUAUCAAUUGGAGGGCAAGUCUGGUGCCAGCAGCCGCGGUAAUUCCAGCUCCAAUAGAGUAUAUUAAAAUAGGUGCAGUUAAAAAGCUCGUAGUUGAAGUUCUGCUAAAAGUAACCGGUCUGCUUUUAAUAAAAGUGGUAUAUGGGUGUGUAUUUAGCAAUGAUGUCCUUUGAAGUGUUUUUUACUAUA